rnacentral:rRNA from 1 species
CGUGUAGGCGGCCAGGUAGGUCGGUUGUGAAAACUAGAGGCUCAACCUCUAGACGUCGGCCGAAACCACUUGGCUAGAGUCCGGAAGAGGAGAGUGGAAUUCCUGGUGUAGCGGUGAAAUGCGCAGAUAUCAGGAAGAACACCCGUGGCGAAGGCGGCUCUCUGGGAUGGUACUGACGCUGAGACGCGAAAGCGUGGGGAGCGAACA